GCUCUAGUAGCUUAACGAAAAAGCACCGGUUUUGUAACCCGGAGAUCGAAGAUUAAAAUUCUUCCUAGCGCC
rnacentral:tRNA from 1 species